AUUGGAGGCUGCGUUGCCAGAGCAACGCUCCCCCGCCAUUCUUUCAUUUGCAAUCUGUUCAUCUCUCCAAACCUCAACCACUCUCCUCCGCAUCGCGAGAGUGUAACGCCGGAGCGGCUGAGUUGGAGUGACCUCAUCCCCCCCGCCCCCCGCAGCUGCGACGGCGAGGCGGAGCGAAGUGCUGCUGCAACUUUGGAUGAACUUCUGAGCCCGAGCAGUCGAGAGGCGGACGUUGGAGUACCCAGACGAGUGUCAGUGAGGUGAAGAGACUCGAUGGUUAACGUAUACGUUCAGUCGUAUGUCUUCUUUUUAUUCAACACGGCUCCGUUCUUCGUGACCGUGGUAGCGCCCGAGCCUUUAGCCCCCGGACGGCGGCUCCGCAGUUGAACUUUUGCGAGAAGCCGAAAGGUGGAUAAAUAAAUAAAAGCGCCCUGAACGGUGGCCCGGUGGUGUCUUCUGGCCGCUC
ensembl:lncRNA